rnacentral:misc_RNA from 1 species
CUCAUGAUAUGCAUGCUGGAUAUGGCCGUUCAGUGUCCAAGCAUUCUCAUUUCAUGCCUCAUACUUCACAAAACUCGCCAAGCCGUUUGGGACAGCAAUCUCUUCCGCGCUUCAAUCAUGGGAGACCUGCUGUUCGUGGUGGUGAAUGGAAUCAGAUCAAGGUCCAGCCCCCUCAAUCCAGUUUUAAUUCUGGGGGUCCCCUUUCUCCAGGAAAUAGCUCACUCAAUAAUGGCAUGCCAUGGGGGCG